AGAGUUUGAUCAUGGCUCAGGAUGAACGCUAGCUACAGGCUUAACACAUGCAAGUCGAGGGGAAACGAUAUUGGAAGCUUGCUUCCGAUAGGCGUCGACCGGCGCACGGGUGAGUAACGCGUAUCCAACCUGCCCAUCACUUGGGGAUAACCUUGCGAAAGUAAGACUAAUACCCAAUGACGUCUCUAGAAGACAUCUGAAGGAGAUUAAAGAUUUAUCGGUGAUGGAUGGGGAUGCGUCUGAUUAGCUUGUUGGCGGGGUAACGGCCCACCAAGGCAACGAUCAGUAGGGGUUCUGAGAGGAAGGUCCCCCACAUUGGAACUGAGACACGGUCCAAACUCCUACGGGAGGCAGCAGUGAGGAAUAUUGGUCAAUGGGCGAGAGCCUGAACCAGCCAAGUAGCGUGCAGGAAGACGGCCCUAUGGGUUGUAAACUGCUUUUAUAAGGGAAUAAAGUGAGUCUCGUGAGACUUUUUGCAUGUACCUUAUGAAUAAGGACCGGCUAAUUCCGUGCCAGCAGCCGCGGUAAUACGGAAGGUCCGGGCGUUAUCCGGAUUUAUUGGGUUUAAAGGGAGCGUAGGCCGGAGAUUAAGCGUGUUGUGAAAUGUAGACGCUCAACGUCUGCACUGCAGCGCGAACUGGUUUCCUUGAGUACGCACAAAGUGGGCGGAAUUCGUGGUGUAGCGGUGAAAUGCUUAGAUAUCACGAAGAACUCCGAUUGCGAAGGCAGCUCACUGGAGCGCAACUGACGCUGAAGCUCGAAAGUGCGGGUAUCGAACAGGAUUAGAUACCCUGGUAGUCCGCACGGUAAACGAUGGAUGCCCGCUGUUGGUCUGAACAGGUCAGCGGCCAAGCGAAAGCAUUAAGCAUCCCACCUGGGGAGUACGCCGGCAACGGUGAAACUCAAAGGAAUUGACGGGGACCCGCACAAGCGGUGGAGCAUGUGGUUUAAUUCGAAGCAACGCGAAGAACCUUACCUGCUCUUGACAUCCCAUUCGAUAGAGGGUAAUGCCUCUAGCCCUUCGGGGGAAUGGAGACAGGUGGUGCAUGGUUGUCGUCAGCUCGUGUCGUGAGAUGUUGGGUUAAGUCCCGCAACGAGCGCAACCCUUAUUGUCAGUAGCCAGCAGGUGAAGCUGGGCACUCUGAUGAGACUGCCGGGGAUAACCCGGAGGAAGGUGGGGAUGACGUCAAAUCAUCAUGCCCCUUAUGAGCAGGGCUACACACGUGCUACAAUGGCGUAAACAGAGGGAAGCGAAGGAGUGAUCUGGAGCAAAUCUCAAAAAUAACGUCUCAGUUCGGAUUGUAGUCUGCAACUCGACUACAUGAAGCUGGAAUCGCUAGUAAUCGCAGAUCAGAAUGCUGCGGUGAAUACGUUCCCGGGUCUUGUACACACCGCCCGUCACACCAUGGGAGUCGGUAAUGCCCGAAGUCAGUGACUCAACCAUAAAGGAGAGAGCUGCCGAAGGCAGGACUGGUAACUGGGGUGAAGUCGUAACAAGGUA
rnacentral:rRNA from 1 species